AGUGAACGCUGGCGGUAGGCCUAACACAUGCAAGUCGAACGGCAGCACAGUAAGAGCUUGCUCUUACGGGUGGCGAGUGGCGGACGGGUGAGGAAUACAUCGGAAUCUACUUUUUCGUGGGGGAUAACGUAGGGAAACUUACGCUAAUACCGCAUACGACCUACGGGUGAAAGCAGGGGAUCUUCGGACCUUGCGCGAUUGAAUGAGCCGAUGUCGGAUUAGCUAGUUGGCGGGGUAAAGGCCCACCAAGGCGACGAUCCGUAGCUGGUCUGAGAGGAUGAUCAGCAACACUGGAACUGAGACACGGUCCAGACUCCUAAGGGAGGCAGCAGUGGGGAAUCUUGGAGAAUGGGCGGAAGCCUGAUCCAGCCAUACCGCGUGGGUGAAGAAGGCCUUCGGGUUGUAAAGCCCUUUUGUUGGGAAAGAAAAGCAGCAGGUUAAUACCCCGCUGUUCUGACGGUACCCAAAGAAUAAGCACCGGCUAACUUCGU
rnacentral:rRNA from 1 species